UACGGAAGGGGCAAGCGUUGUUCGGAAUUAUUGGGCGUAAAGGGCGUGUAGGCGGCUUCGCAGGUCGGUGGUGAAAGCAUACAGCUCAACUGUAUUGAGCCACGGAAACGGCGGAGCUUGAGGCUGGGAGGGGCUGGUGGAAUUCCCUGUGUAGCGGUGAAAUGCGUAGAGAUGGGGGAGAACACUCGUGGCGAAGGCGGCCAGCUGGACCAGUUCUGACGCUGAGGUGCGAAAGCGUGGGGAGCAAACAGG
rnacentral:rRNA from 1 species